rnacentral:tRNA from 1 species
UAGAAAUAAGAGGGUU